AGAGUUGAUCCUGGCUUAGGAUUAACGCUGGCGGCAUGCCUAAUACAUGCAAGUCGAAUGGGUAGCUUGCUAUCCAUGGCGAACGGGUGAGUAACACGUAGGUAACCUGUCUUCAAGUCGAGGAUAACCUUUGGAAACGAAGGAUAAUACUGGAUAGGUCGUUAUAAAUCACAUGAUUAAACGAUUAAAGAUUAUAAUGUCACUUGAUGAGGGGCCUGCGGCGCAUUAGCUAGUUGGUGAGGUAAAGGCCCACCAAGGCGAUGAUGCGUAGCCGGACUGAGAGGUUGAACGGCCACAAUGGGACUGAGAACGGCCCAUACUCCUACGGGAGGCAGCAGUAGGGAAUUUUCGGCAAUGGGCGCAAAGCCUGACCGAGCAAUGCCGCGUGAAAGAAGAAGUAUUUCGGUAUGUAAAUUUCUUUUAUUUGGGACGAAAAAACAAAUUGACGGUACCAAAUGAAUAAGCUCCGGCUAACUACGUGCCAGCCGCCGC
rnacentral:rRNA from 1 species